UACGGAGGGUGCGAGCGUUGUCCGGAAUCAUUGGGCGUAAAGGGCGCGUAGGUGGCGGGACAAGCGUGCGGUGAAAGCCUGGGGCUCAACCCCGGGUCGGCCGUGCGAACUGUUUUGCUUGAGCACUGUAGAGGCGGGUGGAAUUCCGGGUGUAGCGGUGGAAUGCGUAGAGAUCCGGAAGAACACCAGUGGCGAAGGCGGCCCGCUGGGCAGUGGCUGACGCUGAGGCGCGACAGCGUGGGGAGCAAACAGG
rnacentral:rRNA from 1 species